rnacentral:rRNA from 1 species
UACGUAGGGUGCAAGCGUUGUCCGGAAUUACUGGGCGUAAAGAGCUCGUAGGUGGUUUGUCGCGUUGUCCGUGAAAACUCACAACUCAAUUGUGGGCGUGCGGGCGAUACGGGCAGACUGGAGUACUGCAGGGGAGACUGGAAUUCCUGGUGUAGCGGUGGAAUGCGCAGAUAUCAGGAAGAACACCCGUGGCUAAGGCGGCUCUCUAGUACGGUACUGACGCUGAGACGCGAAAGCGUGGGGAGCGAACAGG